rnacentral:misc_RNA from 1 species
AAGUCGUAACAAGGUCUCCGUUGGUGAACCAGCGGAGGGAUCAUUAAAGAGUUGAAAAACUCCCAAAACCACUGUGGACCUUACCAUUAUCGUUGCUUCGGCGGUGAACGGGUUUAGGUUGCCCUCCUCCUCCUCUUUCGAGAUGGGGGGGCGCCAACCGACCAGCGAGCCGCCGAAGGUCACCUAAACUUUGUAUUUAUGUAGUGCAUCUCUGAGCAUAAAAGAAAACAAGUCAAAACUUUCAACAACGGAUCUCUUGGUUCUG